UUGAACGCUGGCGGCAUGCUUUACACAUGCAAGUCGAACGGUAACAGGCCGCAAGGUGCUGACGAGUGGCGAACGGGUGAGUAAUGCAUCGGAACGUGCCCAGUCGUGGGGGAUAACGCAGCGAAAGCUGUGCUAAUACCGCAUACGAUCUAUGGAUGAAAGCGGGGGACCGUAAGGCCUCGCGCGAUUGGAGCGGCCGAUGUCAGAUUAGCUAGUUGGUGGGGUAAAGGCCCACCAAGGCGACGAUCUGUAGCUGGUCUGAGAGGACGACCAGCCACACUGGGACUGAGACACGGCCCAGACUCCUACGGGAGGCAGCAGUGGGGAAUUUUGGACAAUGGGCGCAAGCCUGAUCCAGCAAUGCCGCGUGCAGGAAGAAGGCCUUCGGGUUGUAAACUGCUUUUGUACGGAACGAAACGGUCUGGGUUAAUACCUCGGGCUAAUGACGGUACCGUAAGAAUAAGCACCGGCUAACUACGU
rnacentral:rRNA from 1 species